AGCGGCGGACGGGUGAGUAACGCGUGGGUAACCUGCCCUAUACACAUGGAUAACAUACUGAAAAGUUUACUAAUACAUGAUAAUAUAUAUUUGUGGCAUCGCAGAUAUAUCAAAGUGUUAGCGGUAUAGGAUGGACCCGCGUCUGAUUAGCUAGUUGGUGAGAUAACUGCCCACCAAGGCGACGAUCAGUAGCCGACCUGAGAGGGUGAUCGGCCACAUUGGAACUGAGACACGGUCCAAACUCCUACGGGAGGCAGCAGUGGGGAAUAUUGCACAAUGGGCGAAAGCCUGAUGCAGCAACGCCGCGUGAACGAUGAAGGUCUUCGGAUCGUAAAGUUCUGUUGCAGGGGAAGAUAAUGACGGUACCCUGUGAGGAAGCCCCGGCUAACUACGUGCCAGCAGCCGCGGUAAUACGUAGGGGGCUAGCGUUAUCCGGAUUUACUGGGCGUAAAGGGUGCGUAGGUGGUCCUUCAAGUCGGUGGUUAAAGGCUACGGCUCAACCGUAGUAAGCCGCCGAAACUGGAGGACUUGAGUGCAGGAGAGGAAAGUGGAAUUCCCAGUGUAGCGGUGAAAUGCGUAGAUAUUGGGAGGAACACCAGUAGCGAAGGCGGCUUUCUGGACUGCAACUGACACUGAGGCACGAAAGCGUGGGUAG
rnacentral:rRNA from 1 species